AUCACUAGUGAAGCUUUGAGACGGUGUGUGCUCUUGUGAUGUCAUCAGACAAUCACUGCUGGCAAACAUGACAUCAUUUUCCUGAAGCUCAGAGUCAUUAGUCACAUGACUUUUACCCAAGCUUUCAGGAUCAUGAAUAUUGUAUGUUUUCUUUCAUAUUCUUCCAUGCAUAAAAUCACAUUCAUAAUGAGUGUCUUCAGUUAAAAUGCUUAAAACAAGGAGAAUUUACUCUAAGGGACACUGCAUAAAAUAUUACAAAUCGUUUUCAUAGAUUAUAUCUUAAAUAUAAGUAUAUUUUAUCUUACAACACCGGCAGAUUUUAUCACUCAUUUAUACUUAAAACAAAUAAAAAACCUCUCUUUUUUGCAGUUUGUUUUUGCAGAUGACACACUUAGAUACAUUAGAUUCGUUAAAAAUUAUGAAUAUAUUUACAAACCUCUUUAAAACUCCAGAAACAUCUUGCAAAAGCGCUGUUCUGUGUAAAAUAAUAGAAAGAGGCAAAUAUUUGCAGCUCGCACAGACGGCGGAUGAAAUUAUCAUGAGAAUGGCCAGCUAUAAUCUGCUGUGAAUGGAGGGUUGUAUUGAACUGCGCUCAUGUCUGUCAGCGCUGGAUAAUAUUAGCUUCAUAAAGGAAGAGAGAGAGAGAGAGGGAGAGAGAGAGAGGCUGGAACUGAAGGAAAAGCAUGUCAGAAAUAGAUACUGUAGGAUUGUGAUUUGGGAUUACGUGCCGAUCAGUUUCACAGCCUCAGUUCAACAAGAGCUACACUGACAGAGUGAAAAUGAAAGGGAAUAGUCCACAAAAAUGAAAAUAUACCUGUCAUAUGUGGUGGACAGUAACAAAGUAUUUUUACUCCGUUAUGUACUUAAGUGCAUUUUUCAAGUGUCUUUACUUCACUUCAUUCCAAAGCAUUUCUCAAAAACAUGUUCCUCGUUAUUUUAAACAGGAGAAAUCCGUACCCGCUCCAAGACCUCAUAUCGGUGUCCGAUUCAUAAAAAGCUGAUUCUUUUCAAUGAACCUGUUGAAUCUGUUCACAAGUAGCACCGAACGAUUCAUUCGUGAGUUGGACUGAUCGGAUUGCAUCUCGAUUCAACAACUCUUGAUUCAAGUUAUUCAGUGACAGUGAACAACUCGCUGAUUCAAAUGAUCCGGUCAGAGCGAGUCUCCAGUGAACAAUUUGCUGAUUCAAAUACUCUCACUUGUUUGCAGACAUGAAGUAUCAUUAACCUAAAUUGAUAUUUUAAUAUAUUUAACGUGUUGAUAGUGAAUGACAAGCCCCACUUCGGCAGGUAUUUUAAGCAGUAGGAUCAUACAAAAUAUAUCAUAUAAAAUUAUUAAAUCUAAAAGUAAAAUUACAAAAUAAGCAUUCAUAGAUCAGCAUUUUUUACUUGUAGUAAUUAAGUAGAUUAUAAAUCAAAUACUUUUGUACUUUUAUUCAAGUAAAAUUGAAAAUACUUUUACUGGAGUAAUAUUUUAUUAGGGUAUAAGUGCUUGAUUUGUGAUUUGUCCACUACUGAUCCUUCCAAACUUUUCAACUUUUUAACAUUUUCAACAUUCAUUUAACCAUUUAAAAACUGUACAGCCUCCAAAUGCAAAGAUUAAAGAAGAAGACAUUUUUAAGUGUUUAAACUGUGAUUGGUGUGAUAUGAGAUCUUUGGCCGAGUGAUUCCCGCCUGCAGCUGUGCUGUUAAUUAAAGACUUUUGAGAGCAACUGUGGGAAUCAUCUCACACACACACACACACUGACACACACACACACACACACACACUCACUUCCUCGUCCUGUCGGAGGGCUCAGUGGGACACGUGCUGAACCGAGCCUCUCACUUGUGCUGGCAGGAGGCCUCUCACUUGUGCUGGCAGAGGAUUAUGGGAAGACGUGGGUUCC
rnacentral:lncRNA from 1 species